UACGUAGGGACCAAGCGUUGUUCGGAUUCACUGGGCGUAAAGGGUGCGUAGGUGGUGAGGUAAGUCGGAUGUGAAAUCUCCAAGCUCAACUUGGAAAUGGCAUUGGAAACUACCUUGCUGGAGGUUUGGAGGGGGGACUGGAAUUCUCGGUGUAGCAGUGAAAUGCGUAGAUAUCGAGAGGAACACCAGUGGCGAAGGCGAGUCCCUGGACAAAACCUGACACUGAGGCACGAAAGCUAGGGGAGCAAACAGG
rnacentral:rRNA from 1 species